rfam:Schistosoma curassoni strain Dakar, Senegal genome assembly, scaffold: SCTD_scaffold0012538
GCACUGCUGAAGAGUCCCACAAUAGGGCGAAACAGUCAUCCAGUGC